AAGGCCUUCGGGUUGUAAAGCCCUUUAGGUUGGGAAGAAGGAUAUUCGGCGAAUAACCGAGUAUUUUGACGGUACCGACAGAAUAAGCACCGGCAAACUCUGUGC
rnacentral:rRNA from 1 species